rnacentral:rRNA from 1 species
AUGAACGCUGGCGGCGUGCCUCAUACAUGCAAGUCGAGCGCACGGACGAGAAGCUUGCUUCUCUGAUGUUAGCGGCGGACGGGUGAGUAACACGUGGAUAACCUACCUAUAAGACUGGGAUAACUUCGGGAAACCGGAGCUAAUACCGGAUGAUAUUUUGAACCGCAUGGUUCAAAAGUGAAAGACGGUCUUGCUGUCACUUAUAGAUGGAUCCGCGCUGCAUUAGCUAGUUGGUAAGGUAACGGCUUACCAAGGCAACGAUGCAUAGCCGACCUGAGAGGGUGAUCGGCCACACUGGAACUGAGACACGGUCCAGACUCCUACGGGAGGCAGCAGUAGGGAAUCUUCCGCAAUGGGCGAAAGCCUGACGGAGCAACGCCGCGUGAGUGAUGAAGGUCUUCGGAUCGUAAAACUCUGUUAUUAGGGAAGAACAUAUGUGUAAGUACUGUGCACAUCUUGACGGUACCUAAUCAGAAAGCCACGGCUAACUACGUG